GACGAACGCUGGCGGCGUGCUUAACACAUGCAAGUCGAACGAAGAGCGAUGGAAGCUUGCUUCUAUCAAUCUUAGUGGCGAACGGGUGAGUAACGCGUAAUCAACCUGCCCUUCAGAGGGGGACAACAGUUGGAAACGACUGCUAAUACCGCAUACGACCUAAUCUCGGCAUCGAGGAUAGAUGAAAGGUGGCCUCUACAUGUAAGCUAUCACUGAAGGAGGGGAUUGCGUCUGAUUAGCUAGUUGGAGGGGUAACGGCCCACCAAGGCGAUGAUCAGUAGCCGGUCUGAGAGGAUGAACGGCCACAUUGGGACUGAGACACGGCCCAGACUCCUACGGGAGGCAGCAGUGGGGAAUCUUCCGCAAUGGACGAAAGUCUGACGGAGCAACGCCGCGUGAGCGAUGACGGCCUUCGGGUUGUAAAGCUCUGUUAAUCGGGACGAAAGGCCUUCUUGCGAAUAGUGAGAAGGAUUGACGGUACCGGAAUAGAAAGCCACGGCUAACUACGUG
rnacentral:rRNA from 1 species